GACGAACGCUGGCGGCGUGCUUAACACAUGCAAGUCGAACGAUGAUGCUGGAGCUUGCUCCAGUUGAUUAGUGGCGAACGGGUGAGUAACACGUGAGCAAUCUGCCCUUGACUCUGGGAUAACUGCGGGAAACUGUAGCUAAUACCGGAUACUUUCACCGGGGGGCAUCCUCUGGUGAUGAAAGAAUUUCGGUCAAGGAUGAGCUCGCGGCCUAUCAGCUUGUUGGUGAGGUAACGGCUCACCAAGGCGACGACGGGUAACCGGCCUGAGAGGGUGACCGGUCACACUGGGACUGAGACACGGCCCAGACUCCUACGGGAGGCAGCAGUGGGGAAUAUUGCACAAUGGGCGAAAGCCUGAUGCAGCAACGCCGCGUGAGGGAUGAAGGCCUUCGGGUUGUAAACCUCUUUUAGCAGGGAAGAAGCGAAAGUGACGGUACCUGCAGAAAAAGCACCGGCUAACUACGUGCCAGCAGCCGCCGUAA
rnacentral:rRNA from 1 species